AAAAUCAAAGAUCAUAAGAAAUAAGAAAAAAAAAUAAAGUCCUUUCCAUUGUUCAGCAAAAGGUUUCUGUCCUAAAGUAAUCUUAAGAAGGGAGGAGGAGGGACCUCCCAUGCCAAUGGGGUUCACAUUCCAAUAGACUAUCAGUAAGAAAUUUUCCAAGUAUGAAAUUUCCCAAUGGUGAAAUUUCCAACAUUUAUAAGUCUAAGGAAUUUUAAGGUUUACAUAUUGUUAUUAUUGUUUAUUAAUUAGGUGAUCAUUUGGCCUCUAUUUAAAGACCUCCAGGGAAGAGGAAUCCUCUAUUUCCUCAGGAAUGUCACUGUACUGAGUAUGUUUUCCAUUCUAUCAGCCUAAGUCUGUCUCUCUAGAACCUUCUUCUUUUUUUAAAUUCAUUAACACCUUUCGUUUUUACAAGACAUACACUUUUAGAGGGAGAUGAGAAGGAAUUCGAGAGUCAGAAAUCAUGAGGGUGACUCCUAGAUUUACCAUUUCAAGAGCUGAAUGACUGGACAAGUGAUAUGACUUCUCGAUGCCUCAGUUUCUCAUCUGCAAAAUGGCCUUGAUAGUGUCUCCUCACCUCACUAGACUGUAGUAAGAAUCAGAAGAGCUAAUUUGUAUGCCUCCAUCUCUCACCUCCAAGACUUUGCAUGGUGUCCUAACCCCCCAUAUCUGGAAUACAUACCCUCAUAAUUUCUACUUUUUAGACCUUAACUCCCUCAAGGCUCAUCUCAGGUACCUCGGGGAACCCAUCAUAGGGAGGAGGAGGAGGAGGAAGAAAGAGGAAAAAGUAUUUCUUAAUUUAAUAUUAUAGGGUAGCAAGGGUGCACAGUAGAUAGCACACUGGGGCAGGAGUUAGGAAGACCUGAAUUCAAAUCUGGCCUCAGACACUUCCUUGCUAUGUGACUCUGGACAAGUCAUUAACCCUGUUUGCCUCAGUUUCCUCAUGUGUCAAAUGAGCUGGAGAAGGAAAUGGCAAACCACUCCACUAUCUCUGGAAGAAAAUUUCCACUGGGCCCAGGUAGAGCAGAAGGGCUCAACGAUUGCCUUUCCUUGUUUGGUUAUGGGUUAGUUUGGUUGUCUUUGUGUUUGUGAGUCUGUUGUACAUGUGACCCAAAUGGAGUCACAAAGAAUUGGUCACAACUAAAUAACAACAGCUAUGUACCAGGCGCUGGGAUAGGUGUUUUUAUGAAUAUUAUCUCCUUGGGUCCUUAAGACAACACUAUGAAGUAGGUGCUAGAGUGAUCUCCACUUUACACUUGAGGAAGUUGAGGCAGAGAGAGGUUAAAAGAUUUGUACAAAGUCACAGAGUUAGGAAAUGUCUAAGGCUGGAUUAGAACUCACAUUUUCCUGACUCCUGACCCAAUGCUUGCUGCCCCCAUUUCCCCUAGGAGAUCAUGAGAUGAUAGGAUCCAACAUUGGAACUAGGCGGAACACUAACCAUCAUAUGGUCUAAAUCCUACAUUUUGCAGCUGAAAAAAUGGAGCCUCAGAGAGACCGAGUCACACAGAUAUCCCAACUGAUGGCGUCCUCUCCCUCCUCAAAUAAUUGUAUAUUUGAGAACAUAUCGCUUGGCUGUUGCCACAGAAGGGUGUCCAUUCCAGAACCAGGAAGACGAAAGGAAGAAAAUUGCAUUUCUACUAGAACACGAUCUCCUGCUCCCAGGUAGAGUUCUGGAAAAUACAUGUUUCUCUUUCCCAUUUGGGAAAUCAGAAGCAGAGG
rnacentral:lncRNA from 1 species